CUUCAAAAGAUCUCCAGGUGCUUCUCUUCUCUACAAGCCAGUGCUAAAGAUAUAGCAUCCCGUCUGGCCUUUAAUGGGCACUCCAUGUUUGGGUGGCUGACAACACGGUAACCAACUUCCAUCUGAGGGAGCAGAUGAGACAGAAGGCAAGAGGAAGCACCCAAGAUGGACGCCAUAUUCUUUUACUAUGGAAUCCAUCACUUCUGCUGAUUUUUGUUCAUUAGAGACAAGCCAGGAAGUCCAACCUACCUGGAGAAGAAGGGAUUACAGAAUGGUGUGAACACCAGGAUGGGGGCUCACAGGGGCCACUGUGGAGACUGUCUUUCACCCCUCUUCUCUUUCAUGCCCCUCUCACCCAGAAGUAACCACCAUUAAUUCUUUCAGAGGGUUCAAAAAGAAAGAAUUGGAUUUAAAUCAAUUUUCCAAGAUUAAACUGGAAGUGCUCCAAUGGUUUCUGCUAAGAUUUAAAUGUCAACCACUUUUCAGUGCCGUAAAUGUCAUCAUCCCCUCUGCCAAGUGGACCAGAUGAGCACUGAAACUCACAGCUUGCCUUCAAGUAAAAAAGCCUCAGCUUACCUUUGGCUGGAAGAUUGAUUCUGUGGCCCUCCUGAUUGAAGCAGGACAUGUGCCAGGCCUCACUCCCGUUGUGGUACCCAGACUCUGCCCACCAGCUGUGCUUCACCUGCCUGCGGAGGGCUGUUCCUGCUUGCCUAGUGAUGUGGACCAGCUCUGGUUUGGCCAACUCUACAGCUUCUCCACCAGGUAGACAUUACUGUACUAGCUGAUUCCUGAAUGAAGAUGAAAUGGAAUAGAACCACAGCCAACUCACAAUACACAUGUUGUGAGUGAAAAAUAUUUAUCAUUGUAAGUCACUAAGGGUUGGGAUGUUACUGCAGCAUAGCUUAGCUGAUACUGAC
rnacentral:lncRNA from 1 species